UACGUAGGGUGCGAGCGUUAAUCGGAAUUACUGGGCGUAAAGGGUGCGUAGGCGGUUUGCCAAGACAGGCGUGAAAGCCCCGGGCUUAACCUGGGAAUUGCGCUUGUGACUUGCAGGCUAGAGUACGGCAGAGGGGGGUGGAAUUCCACGUGUAGCAGUGAAAUGCGUAGAGAUGUGGAGGAACACCGAUGGCGAAGGCAGCCCCCUGGGCCUGUACUGACGCUCAUGCACGAAAGCGUGGGGAGCAAACAGG
rnacentral:rRNA from 1 species